ACAGAGCUGGACCUGACCAUCAAAAACCUGCAGGAUUCAGGAGUAAAGCUUUUGUCUGCUGGAGUACAAAGUUUAAACUGUAAACUGAAUGCUCUGAGACUGACUGGUUGUAAUCUCUCAGAGACAAGCUGUGAAGCUUUGUCCUCAGUUCUCAGCUCCCAGUCCUCUAGUCUGAGAGAGCUGGACCUGAGUAACUCUGACCUGCAGGAUUCAGGAGUGAAGCUUCUGUCUGCUGGACUAAAGAGUUCACAGAGUGCAGUGGAAACUCUCAGUCUGUCAGGCUGUCUGAUCACAGGGGAAGGCUGUAC